UGGGGAAUAUUGCACAAUGGGCGCAAGCCUGAUGCAGCCAUGCCGCGUGUAUGAAGAAGGCCUUCGGGUUGUAAAGUACUUUCAGCGGGGAGGAAGGCGAUGCGGUUAAUAACCGCGUCGAUUGACGUUACCCGCAGAAGAAGCACCGGCUAACUCCGUGCCAGCAGCCGCGGUAAUACGGAGGGUGCAAGCGUUAAUCGGAAUUACUGGGCGUAAAGCGCACGCAGGCGGUCUGGCAAGUCGGAUGUGAAAUCCCCGGGCUCAACCUGGGAACUGCAUCCGAAACUGGCAGGCUUGAGUCUCGUAGAGGGGGGUAGAAUUCCAGGUGUAGCGGUGAAAUGCGUAGAGAUCUGGAGGAAUACCGGUGGCGAAGGCGGCCCCCUGGACGAAGACUGACGCUCAGGUGCGAAAGCGUGGGGAGCAAACA
rnacentral:rRNA from 1 species